UACAGAGGUCCCAAGCGUUGUUCGGAUUCACUGGGCGUAAAGGGUGCGUAGGUGGCGGAAAAAGUUCGAUGUGAAAUCUCCGGGCUUAACCCGGAAACGGCAUUGAAUACUGUUUCGCUCGAGGGUCGGAGGGGAGACUGGAAUUCUCGGUGUAGCAGUGAAAUGCGUAGAUAUCGAGAGGAACACCAGUGGCGAAAGCGAGUCUCUGGACGACAUCUGACACUGAGGCACGAAAGCUAGGGGAUCAAACAGG
rnacentral:rRNA from 1 species